rnacentral:rRNA from 1 species
UUUGACGGUACCUGCAGAAGAAGCCCCGGCUAACUACGUGCCAGCAGCCGCGGUAAUACGUAGGUGGCGAGCGUUAUCCGGAUUUAUUGGGUUUAAAGGGAGCGUAGAUGGAUGUUUAAGUCAGUUGUGAAAGUUUGCGGCACAACCGUAAAAUUGCAGUUGAUACUGGAUAUCUUGAGUGCAGUUGAGGCAGGCGGAAUUCGUGGUGUAGCGGUGAAAUGCUUAGAUAUCACGAAGAACUCCGAUUGCGAAGGCAGCCUGCUAAGCUGCAACUGACAUUGAGGCUCGAAAGUGUGGGUAUCAAACAGAAUUAGAUACCCUGGUAGUCCACACGGUAAACGAUGAAUACUCGCUGUUUGCGAUAUACAGCAAGCGGCCAAGCGAAAGCGUUAAGUAUUCCACUUGGGGAGUACGCCGGCAACGGUGAAACUCAAAGGAAUUGACGGGGGCCCGCACAAGCGGAGGAACAUGUGGUUUAAUUCGAUGAUACGCGAGGAACCUUACCCGGGCUUAAAUUGCAGAUGAAUUACGGUGAAAGCCGUAAGCCGCAAGGCAUCUGUGAAGGUGCUGCAUGGUUGUCGUCAGCUCGUGCCGUGAGGUGUCGGCUUAAGUGCCAUAACGAGCGCAACCCUUGCCGAUAGUUACUAACAGGUUAUGCUGAGGACUCUGUCGGGACUGCCAUCGUAAGAUGUGAGGAAGGUGGGGAUGACGUCAAAUCAGCACGGCCCUUACGUCCGGGGCUACACACGUGUUACAAUGGGAGGUACAGCAGGCAGCUACCUGGCGACAGGAUGCUAAUCCCGAAAACCCCUCUCAGUUCGGACUGGAGUCUGCAACCCGACUCCACGAAGCUGGAUUCGCUAGUAAUCGCGCAUCAGCCACGGCGCGGUGAAUACGUUCCCGGGCCUUGCACUCACCGCCCGUCAAG